rnacentral:rRNA from 1 species
AGAGUUUGAUCCUGGCUCAGGACGAACGCUGGCGGCGUGCCUAAUACAUGCAAGUCGAGCGGAGUUGAAGAGAAGCUUGCUUCUCGGAUGCUUAGCGGCGGACGGGUGAGUAACACGUAGGUAACCUGCCUACAAGACUGGGAUAACAGCCGGAAACGGUUGCUAAUACCGGAUACGCAAUUCUCUCGCAUGGGAGAAUU